rnacentral:rRNA from 1 species
GACGAACGCUGGCGGCGCGCUUAACACAUGCAAGUCGAGCGAUUAAACUUUAACAGCACCCUUCGGGGCGAAGAUAAAGUGGAUUAGCGGCGGACGGGUGAGUAACAUGUGAGUAACCUGCCUUAGACACUGGGAUAGCCUCGGGAAACCUGGAUUAAUACCAAAUAAAAUCAUAAUGACACAUGUCAUAACGAUCAAAACUCCGGUGGUCUAAGAUGGACUCGCGUCCCAUUAGCUCGUUGGUAGAGUAAAAGCCUACCAAGGCGACGAUGGGUAGCCGGGCUGAGAGAGUGAACAGCCACAUUGGAACUGAGAAACGGUCCAAACUCCUACGGGAGGCAGCAGUGGGGAAUAUUGCAAAAUGGAGGGAACUCUGAUGCAGCGACGACGCGUGAACGAAGAAGGCUGUCGAGUCGGAAAGUUCUUUUAUAUGGGAAGAUAAUGACGGUACCAUAAGAAAAAGCCCCGGCUAACUACGUG